rnacentral:other from 4 species
UUUUCCCUGCCGUGUGCGUCAGGACUAGGAAAUGGUUGAACCAACACUUUUUACACGGGAGCUCAAACUCUCUUGGUAAGCCAUCGCGCUUCCUCGAGGAGGCACCCACUUGUGAACAAGGUUCACGCAAUCGGUCCGACGGCAAUGCGCGGGGAUUUU